rnacentral:rRNA from 1 species
AUAAUCAACGCUGGCGGCGUGCCUAACACAUGCAAGUCGAACGCGAAAGUGGAGCAAUCCAUGAGUAGAGUGGCAAACGGGUGAGUAACGCGUGGGCGACCUACCUUCGAGUGGGGGAUAACCUUCCGAAAGGAGGGCUAAUACCGCAUGACAUCCCGUGUUUGGAUACACGGACAUCAAAGCCGGGGAUCGCAAGACCUGGCGCUUGGAGAGGGGCCCGCGUCCGAUUAGCUAGUUGGUGGGGUAACGGCUCACCAAGGCUCCGAUCGGUAUCCGGCCUGAGAGGGCGGACGGACACACUGGAACUGAGACACGGUCCAGACUCCUACGGGAGGCAGCAGUGGGGAAUUGUUCGCAAUGGGCGCAAGCCUGACGACGCAACGCCGCGUGGAGGAUGAAGACCUUCGGGUCGUAAACUCCUUUCGACCGAGAUGAAUUCCCGCCGAC